CUGCUGCUGCUGCUGCUGGGAAGUGAAGUUUCCCCUUUCUGGUGAAACGCUGAUAAGUUGCUGCCGGACGGCUCCCCAAGAUGCUCCUGUUUGCUCAGUGUACGAGUUUCCCUGAACGCAGCACGGAGUGAAAACGUGGCCGUAAACCACCGAGCAGACGCGCAGCUGGCGGGGGGAAGCGCUCCUCGUAGGCGGAACCGGGGCUCCACCGGAACAGCUGCGCUACAUUUUACCGGCUGGCGUAGGCCCGUUUAUCAAGCCUCUGGACCGGCCCCGCCGACGUUCAGCCUCGGCCCAGCGGGUGGUUCCGGAGGUGAGACCCGAACCUGAAAGCAUGGGGAGACCUCCAGGGAGUUUCCCGAACCUCGGAGCGGCAGUUCCGCCUUCAGCCUGUCCUGCACAGGAGGCCCUCAGUCUGCGCAGACCGGAGAACAGCCUGCCUCUGAACGCACCGUAA